rnacentral:rRNA from 1 species
UACAGGGGGUGCAAACGUUGCUCGGAAUCAUUGGGCGUAAAGAGCUCGUAGGCGGUUUGUUGCGUCGGCUGUGAAAUCCCGAGGCUCAACCUCGGGUCUGCAGUCGAUACGAGCAAACUAGAGUGUUGCAGGGGAGACUGGAAUUCCUGGUGUAGCGGUGAAAUGCGCAGAUAUCAGGAGGAACACCGGUGGCGAAGGCGGGUCUCUGGGCAACAACUGACGCUGAGGAGCGAAAGCGUGGGGAGCGAACAGG